rnacentral:lncRNA from 1 species
UGAUUAUAGCUUUCUUAAUCUUGUACAUUGUAUAUAUGUUCAAUUUUAUUUAUUUUUCUUUUAAUUAUUAUUAGUCUUUUGAUUGUCCUAUUCUCAUUUUGUUGAUGAUAUUUUUCUACCUUCUUCAAGUAAUCAGUUACUGCGUUAUUUUUAUAAAUACUUCAGCUGCAUUCAACAUGUAAUAUGUUUAAUAUAGUACUGAAUAUUUAAUAUAGUUAUUAUUGUUAUUUAUUUAAUUAAAAUAUACUAUUUAUUGAUCACGAGUCAUUAAAAUCACUUCUUUUUUCUUUUUCUGUCUGCUUUUUCUCCCCAAAUCCCCCCAUUAUAUAGUUGUAUAUUUUAGCUGUGGGUCCUUCUAGUUGUGGUACGUGGGACGCCGCCUCAACGUGGGCUGAUGAGCAGUGCCAUGUCUGCACCCAGGAUCCGAAUCAGCAAAACCCUGGGCCACCGCAGUGGAGAGCGCGAACUUAACCACUUGGCCACGGGGCCAGACCCUAAAAUCACUUCUUACUUUUGAUAAAUAUGAGUCCUGACAAUUUAAAAGGCAUUAUGUGAGAAAACAUCAUUCUGCAACUGAAAGAGCGUAACUGUUGUCUUGACUGUGGUGACAUUCUCAUCAAUGAGGAUUCACCUUGAACUAACGUCUGUGCCGAUCUUCCUCUAUGUUAUAUGUGGGUUGCCACCACAGCAUGGCUGAUGAGUGGCAUAGGUCUGCACUUGGCAUCAAAACCCAUGAACCUGGGCUGCAGAAGUGGAAUGCACGGAAUUUAACCACUAUGCCACCGGGC